rnacentral:rRNA from 1 species
UACCGGGUGACCGGAUGCCGAUCUCGAAAACCUGUCCCAGUUCGGACUGGAGUCUGCAACCCGACUCCACGAAGUUGGAUUCGCUAGUAAUCGCGCAUCAGCCAUGGCGCGGUGAAUACGUUCCCGGGCCUUGUACACACCGCCCGUCACACCAUGGAAGUCUGCAAUGCCCGAAGCCGGUGGCCUAACCACUUAUGUGGAAGGAGCCGUCUAAGGCAGGGCAGAUGACUGGGGUGAAGUCGUAACAAGGUAGC